GGGAGCGAAUGAUUAAGGAGGCCAUAGAUACUCCUAGCAUCCUAUGGCUCGAGCCGGCGAUCUCAUUCGACUGCUAUAAUUCUGUCGAUUCGCAGUUCGACAUGCCGUUGACUCGAAAGGCGUUUAUCUUCCACGCCUUCUCCAAUAUUUUUGAAGUCCCUCAUCCGAACCCUGAGGUUGAUAGGGAACUGAUCGAUUUCUAUCUGAAGGCGGCUCGUCCUCAGUAUCUAACAUGGAGCGCCCAGAAGAUAGUGAAUGUUCGGGUAUUGAAGCCUUAUACCGAAGGAAGAUUCAUCAAUGUUCGGUUCAAGGUGAUUCGAGGGUCUGCAAGAACUGAACAUCUAAUAUCCCUGGCAGAUCUAUCGAACCUAAAUCCUCAUGAUUGGAUCGUUUUGCAUAACAUCCUCUUGACGAAUGAAGCUGAAUAUGGUCCGAUUAUAGACCAUCUCAAGAGGAUGAUUGUCUGUUACAUCAUGGAGGUAGCCCUAAUGGAUCAGGAGGUAGCCACUGUCUUCAAGAAGAAACCGACGAUAGCUCCUGUGGGAUCGGCCAGUGAUCUCAAUCAAAUGAAAAUGGGCAAGAUCGACCCGAGACGCAAUUCGGUCAUGUUCACUAGAGUAGAAGGACAGAAAUGUCUCUUUGCUUUAGCUGACAAACAUCUUUACACCACUACUUGUCUAGAGCACGUGUUGUCGAUCGUCCGAAGGUGUAAAGAGAAUGCAGCGGAUGAUGUUAAGUACUUCAAUGAUAUGAUCCAAUGGUACAUCAGGUUUAGACAGACGAUACUGGCUCUUAUCUCACGUCUGUUUAAUACCGUGAAGAAGAAAGUACCUGCCACCGCUGCUGGCCCAAGUAACAAGUGAAGAUCUCGCUCCAAUUGACACAAAGGGGGAGAUUGUUGGGUUGAAGAUUUGUUCAAGGGUUGCGUCAUUGGGCUCGGCUGUUAGUCCAUUUGUUUUGUGCUCCGGUUUUGGGCCUGUCCAACCGAGAGCCCGUUAGGUUUAUUAUAUAAGUAUAUGCUUGCAUGCAUAUUAGGCUAACGAUCUUGAUAACGCUUUAGAGAAUUACGAUUACUUUUCUUUAUCGUUCUUGUAAACCUACUAAUCCUCUACAGUUGAUGUUCUUACUCGAGCUCUUCUGAGGGUUUAUUUUAUAAUCAUUCGACACGUAAAAACAGUCGCAAUGUUGAUGAUGAUGUCAAUCGUGUGGCGCGAGAGGCUGAAGAAGCCGAACGCAAGAAGAAAGAAGCCCACGAUCUCCUUGAGAGCAGGAAGACUCUCUUCCCUGCCUGGACUCGGGAGCGAAUGAUUAAGGAGGCCAUAGAUACUCCUAGCAUCCUAUGGCUCGAGCCGGCGAUCUCAUUCGACUGCUAUAAUUCUGUCGAUUCGCAGUUCGACAUGCCGUUGACUCGAAAGGCGUUUAUCUUCCACGCCUUCUCCAAUAUUUUUGAAGUCCCUCAUCCGAACCCUGAGGUUGAUAGGGAACUGAUCGAUUUCUAUCUGAAGGCGGCUCGUCCUCAGUAUCUAACAUGGAGCGCCCAGAAGAUAGUGAAUGUUCGGGUAUUGAAGCCUUAUACCGAAGGAAGAUUCAUCAAUGUUCGGUUCAAGGUGAUUCGAGGGUCUGCAAGAACUGAACAUCUAAUAUCCCUGGCAGAUCUAUCGAACCUAAAUCCUCAUGAUUGGAUCGUUUUGCAUAACAUCCUCUUGACGAAUGAAGCUGAAUAUGGUCCGAUUAUAGACCAUCUCAAGAGGAUGAUUGUCUGUUACAUCAUGGAGGUAGCCCUAAUGGAUCAGGAGGUAGCCACUGUCUUCAAGAAGAAACCGACGAUAGCUCCUGUGGGAUCGGCCAGUGAUCUCAAUCAAAUGAAAAUGGGCAAGAUCGACCCGAGACGCAAUUCGGUCAUGUUCACUAGAGUAGAAGGACAGAAAUGUCUCUUUGCUUUAGCUGACAAACAUCUUUACACCACUACUUGUCUAGAGCACGUGUUGUCGAUCGUCCGAAGGUGUAAAGAGAAUGCAGCGGAUGAUGUUAAGUACUUCAAUGAUAUGAUCCAAUGGUACAUCAGGUUUAGACAGACGAUACUGGCUCUUAUCUCACGUCUGUUUAAUACCGUGAAGAAGAAAGUACCUGCCACCGCUGCUGGCCCAAGUAACAAGUGAAGAUCUCGCUCCAAUUGACACAAAGGGGGAGAUUGUUGGGUUGAAGAUUUGUUCAAGGGUUGCGUCAUUGGGCUCGGCUGUUAGUCCAUUUGUUUUGUGCUCCGGUUUUGGGCCUGUCCAACCGAGAGCCCGUUAGGUUUAUUAUAUAAGUAUAUGCUUGCAUGCAUAUUAGGCUAACGAUCUUGAUAACGCUUUAGAGAAUUACGAUUACUUUUCUUUAUCGUUCUUGUAAACCUACUAAUCCUCUACAGUUGAUGUUCUUACUCGAGCUCUUCUGAGGGUUUAUUUUAUAAUCAUUCGACACGUAAAAACAGUCGCAAUGUUGAUGAUGAUGUCAAUCGUGUGGCGCGAGAGGCUGAAGAAGCCGAACGCAAGAAGAAAGAAGCCCACGAUCUCCUUGAGAGCAGGAAGACUCUCUUCCCUGCCUGGACUCGGGAGCGAAUGAUUAAGGAGGCCAUAGAUACUCCUAGCAUCCUAUGGCUCGAGCCGGCGAUCUCAUUCGACUGCUAUAAUUCUGUCGAUUCGCAGUUCGACAUGCCGUUGACUCGAAAGGCGUUUAUCUUCCACGCCUUCUCCAAUAUUUUUGAAGUCCCUCAUCCGAACCCUGAGGUUGAUAGGGAACUGAUCGAUUUCUAUCUGAAGGCGGCUCGUCCUCAGUAUCUAACAUGGAGCGCCCAGAAGAUAGUGAAUGUUCGGGUAUUGAAGCCUUAUACCGAAGGAAGAUUCAUCAAUGUUCGGUUCAAGGUGAUUCGAGGGUCUGCAAGAACUGAACAUCUAAUAUCCCUGGCAGAUCUAUCGAACCUAAAUCCUCAUGAUUGGAUCGUUUUGCAUAACAUCCUCUUGACGAAU
rnacentral:lncRNA from 1 species